UACGGGGGGGGCAAGCGUUGUUCGGAAUUACUGGGCGUAAAGGGCUCGUAGGCGGCCAACUAAGUCGGAUGUGAAAGCCCCGGGCUCAACCUGGGAAUUGCAUUCGAGACUGCAUUGCUGGAGUACGGAAGAGGAAGGCGGAAUUCCCGGUGUAGCGGUGAAAUGCGUAGAUAUCGGGAGGAACAUCAGUGGCGAAGGCGGCCUUCUGGUCCAGUACUGACACUCAAGUGCGAAAGCGUGGGGAGCAAACAGG
rnacentral:rRNA from 1 species